UACGUAGGUGGCAAGCGUUGUCCGGAUUUACUGGGCGUAAAGAGCGCGCAGGCGGUCGUCCAAGUCGCGUGUGAAAGCCCCCGGCUCAACUGGGGAGGGUCACGCGAUACUGGUCGACUCGAAGGCAGGAGAGGGUAGUGGAAUUCCCGGUGUAGUGGAGAAAUGCGUAGAUAUCAGGAAGAACACCCGUGGCUAAGGCGGCUCUCUAGUACGGUACUGACGCUGAGACGCGAAAGCGUGGGGAGCGAACAGG
rnacentral:rRNA from 1 species